rnacentral:lncRNA from 1 species
UGCAAUCCCAUGUUGGACUCCUUGGAGUUGAUACUGAAGAGAACACCCUCAUGUCUGAUCUCACUCUUCAAUAUCAAGCUUAUCUAGCUUCUGCUGUACAGAUCCCCACAUGGGCUUCAUCCUAAUUGAAGAGUAGGCACGGGGGGAGGGGGGUAUGGUGGCAGAAGAUACUAAAGAAUCAGAAUUUCAUCCAUGUGUCACUAUUUUAUCAGGAUGGUAGAAUUAGAUGCCUCACCCUCUAAUGCAUUAAGGAGGAGCCAGACCUACAAUUGUAUGAAAGCAACUAUUUAUCUGAUUGGCACAGUCUCAGUAUCCUUCAGGAAGAUAUCAACAAGUUCAGAGCCAUUUGACAGCUUUUCCUUCUUGCAAACCUUAGAAACUGCCAAACUCCAUGCAUCUCCAUCAAUAACAUUUCCUUUUACCAAGCUAUUCAAAACUUUGCACAACAACUCCAAGUUCC